rnacentral:rRNA from 1 species
UACGAAGGGGCUAGCGUUGCUCGGAAUCACUGGGCGUAAAGGGUGCGUAGGCGGGUCUUUUAAGUCAGGGGUGAAAUCCUGGAGCUCAACUCCAGAACUGCCUUUGAUACUGAAGAUCUUGAGUUCGGGAGAGGUGAGUGGAACUGCGAGUGUAGAGGUGAAAAUUCGUAGAUAUUCGCAAGAACACCAGUGGCGAAGGCGGCUCACUGGCCCGAUACGUGACGCUGAGG